rnacentral:rRNA from 1 species
CGUAACAAGGUCUCCGUUGGUGAACCAGCGGAGGGAUCAUUACCGAGUUUACAACUCCCAAACCCCUGUGAACAUACCACUUGUUGCCUCGGCGGAUCAGCCCGCUCCCGGUAAAACGGGACGGCCCGCCAGAGGGCCCCUAAACUCUGUUUCUAUAUGUAACUUCUGAGUAAAACCAUAAAUAAAUCAAAACUUUCAACAACGGAUCUCUUGGUUCUGGCAUCGAUGAAGAACGCAGCAAAAUGCGAUAAGUAAUGUGAAUUGCAGAAUUCAGUGAAUCAUCGAAUCUUUGAACGCACAUUGCGCCCGCCAGUAUUCUGGCGGGCAUGCCUGUUCGAGCGUCAUUUCAACCCUCAAGCACAGCUUGGUGUUGGGACUCGCGUUAAUUCGCGUUCCUCAAAUUGAUUGGCGGUCACGUCGAGCUUCCAUAGCGUAGUAGUAAAACCCUCGUUACUGGUAAUCGUGGCGGCCACGCCGUUAAACCCCAACUUCUGAAUGUGACCUCGGAUCAGG